rnacentral:rRNA from 1 species
GAGAGUUUGAUCCUGGCUCAGGAUGAACGCUGGCGGCGUGCUUAACACAUGCAAGUCGAGCGAAGCACUUUAUUUAGAUUUCUUCGGAAUGAUGAAUUUUGUGACUGAGCGGCGGACGGGUGAGUAACGCGUGGGUAACCUACCUCAUACAAGGGGAUAACAGUUGGAAACGGCUGCUAAUACCGUAUAAGACCGCAGUAUCGCAUGAUACAGUGGUAAAAACUCCGGUGGUAUGAGAUGGACCCGCGUCUGAUUAGCUAGUUGGUAAGGUAACGGCUUACCAAGGCGACGAUCAGUAGCCGACCUGAGAGGGUGACCGGCCACAUUGGGACUGAGACACGGCCCAAACUCCUACGGGAGGCAGCAGUGGGGAAUAUUGCACAAUGGGCGAAAGCCUGAUGCAGCGACGCCGCGUGAGUGAUGACGUAUUUCGGUAUGUAAAGCUCUAUCAGCAGGGAAGAAAAUGACGGUACCUGACUAAGAAGCCCGGCUAAUA